UACGUAGGGGGCAAGCGUUGUCCGGAAUCAUUGGGCGUAAAGCGCGUGUAGGCGGUCCGGUAAGUCCGCUGUGAAAGUCGGGGGCUUAACCCUCGGAUGCCGGUGGAUACUGUCGGGCUUGAGUACGGAAGAGGCGAGUGGAAUUCCUGGUGUAGCGGUGAAAUGCGCAGAUAUCAGGAGGAACACCGGUGGCGAAGGCGGGUCUCUGGGCCGAUACUGACGCUGAGGAGCGAAAGCGUGGGGGAGCAAACAGGAUUAGAACCGUACCGUCGAGACCAA
rnacentral:rRNA from 1 species